rnacentral:pre_miRNA from 1 species
UGGUGACAUGAGGCUCCCCGACUGUCACUCUGUCCCAGCCCCUCCUGGCCCGCAGGGCACAGGCUGAGUUGCAGUAGAGAUUGUGGGGUCCUGACCC